rnacentral:rRNA from 1 species
CCUACGGGAGGCAGCAGUGGGGAAUAUUGGACAAUGGGCGAAAGCCUGAUCCAGCCAUGCCGCGUGUGUGAAGAAGGCCUUCGGGUUGUAAAGCACUUUCAGUGGGGAAGAAAGCCUUGGGGCUAAUACCCUCGAGGAAGGACAUCACCCACAGAAGAAGCACCGGCUAACUCCGUGCCAGCAGCCGCGGUAAUACGGAGGGUGCGAGCGUUAAUCGGAAUUACUGGGCGUAAAGCGCGCGUAGGCGGUCUGAUAAGCCGGUUGUGAAAGCCCCGGGCUCAACCUGGGAACGGCAUCCGGAACUGUCAGGCUAGAGUGCAGGAGAGGAAGGUAGAAUUCCCGGUGUAGCGGUGAAAUGCGUAGAGAUCGGGAGGAAUACCAGUGGCGAGGCGGCCUUCUGGACUGACACUGACGCUGAGGUGCGAAAGCGUGGGUAGCAAACAGGAUUAGAUACCCGGGUAGUC